UACGGGGGGAGCAAGCGUUGUUCGGAUUUACUGGGCGUAAAGGGCGCGUAGGCGGUCAGCACAAGUCAAUUGUGAAAUCUCCGAGCUUAACUCGGAAAGGUCAACUGAAACUGUGCGACUAGAGUGCGGAAGGGGCAACUGGAAUUCUUGGUGUAGCAGUGAAAUGCGUAGAUAUCAAGAGGAACACCUGCGGCGAAGGCGGGUUGCUGGGCCGACACUGACGCUGAAGCGCGAAAGCCAGGGGAGCGAACGGG
rnacentral:rRNA from 1 species